GGAAUAUUGGACAAUGGGCGCAAGCCUGAUCCAGCCAUGCCGCGUGAGUGAUGAAGGCCUUCGGGUCGUAAAGCUCUGUGGGGAGGGAAGAAUCCUUGCAGCAUCAGAUCCUGCAAGUUGACGGUACCUCCUUAGCAACCACCGGCUAACCCCGUGCCAGCAGCCGCGGUAAUACGGAGGGUGCAAACGUUGCUCGGAAUUAUUGGGCGUAAAGCGCACGUAGGCGGACCAUCAAGUCGGUUGUGAAAUCCCUCGGCUUAACCGAGGACGUGCAUUCGAAACUGAUGGCCUUGAGUACGAAAGAGGAUCGCGGAAUUCCCGGUGUAGAGGUGAAAUUCGUAGAUAUCGGGAGGAACACCAGUGGCGAAGGCGGCGAUCUGGGUCGAUACUGACGCUGAGGUGCGAAAGCGUGGGGAGCAAA
rnacentral:rRNA from 1 species